rnacentral:rRNA from 1 species
UGGGGAAUAUUGGACAAUGGGCGAAAGCCUGAUCCAGCCAUGCCGCGUGAGUGACGAAGGCCUUAGGGUUGUAAAACUCUUUCGUCGGGGACGAUAAUGACGGUACCCGAAGAAGAAGCUCCGGCUAACUUCGUGCCAGCAGCCGCGGUAAUACGAAGGGAGCUAGCGUUGUUCGGAAUCACUGGGCGUAAAGCGCACGUAGGCGGAUAGUUAAGUCAGGGGUGAAAUCCUGGGGCUCAACCCCAGAACUGCCUUUGAUACUGGCUGUCUCGAGGUCGAGAGAGGUUGGUGGAAUUCCUAGUGUAGAGGUGAAAUUCGUAGAUAUUAGGAAGAACACCAGUGGCGAAGGCGGCCAACUGGCUCGAUACUGACGCUGAGGUGCGAAAGCGUGGGGAGCAAACAGGAUUAGAUACCCACGUAGUCCCUGAGCGGGCUGGCAAGGCGCAU